UACGGGGGGUGCGAGCGUUGUCCGGAAUCACUGGGCGUAAAGGGCGCGUAGGUGGCGUCGUAAGUUUGUGGUGAAAGCCCGGAGCUCAACUCCGGGUCUGCCGCGAAUACUGCGAGGCUUGAGUACUGUAGAGGGGGGUAGAAUAUCGGGUGUAGCGGUGGAAUGCGUAGAGAUCCGAUAGAAGACCGGUGGCGAAGGCGGCCCCCUGGGCAGUAACUGACACUGAGGCGCGACAGCGUGGGGAGCGAACGGG
rnacentral:rRNA from 1 species